ensembl:snoRNA
CUGCAUUCACUGAUAACCCCUUGGACAAAUUGCUGUUUUUCUUUUUGUUUGCCCUAGGAUGUGGAAGGAAAAUAAACCCAGCACUUUUUGCCUGUCUCUUUGACAAUCAGAUUGAAUAGGGGAGAAUAUCU